rnacentral:rRNA from 1 species
CCUACGGGCGGCAGCAGUAGGGAAUCUUUCACAAUGGGCGCAAGCCUGAUGGAGCAACGCCGCGUGCAGGAUGAAGGCCUUCUGGUUGUAAACUGCUUUUAUAAGCGAGAAAUAUGAUGGUAACUUAUGAAUAAGGAUCGUCUAACUACGUGCCAGCAGCCGCGGUCAUACGUAGGAUCCGAGCAUUAUCCGGAGUGACUGGUUGUAAAGAUUUGCGUAGGUGGCAUAAUAAGUAGCUAGUGAAAUCUGGUGGCUCAACCAUUCAGACUAUUAGCUAAACUGUUAAGCUCGAGACCGUGAGGGGUAACUGGAAUUUCUAGUGUAGGAGUGAAAGCCGUAGAUAUUAGAAGGAACACCAAUAGCGUAGGCAGGUUACUGGGACGGUUCUGACACUAAGGCACGAAAGCGUAGGGAGCAAACGGGAUUAGAUACCCCUGUAGUC